GUGAGGGCAAUGUGGCUGUGAUGUUUAUCACCCCAUGGAUCACCAAGGUUGAUUCAGCUGAUCUGGCUGGCUAGGCAGGUGUCCCUUUCCUCUCUCUCC
rnacentral:snRNA from 1 species